GACGAACGCUGGCGGCGUGCUUAACACAUGCAAGUCGAACGGAAAGGCCCUGCUUUUGUGGGGUGCUCGAGUGGCGAACGGGUGAGUAACACGUGAGUAACCUGCCCUUGACUUUGGGAUAACUUCAGGAAACUGGGGCUAAUACCGGAUAUGAGCUCCUGCUGCAUGGUGGGGGUUGGAAAGUUUCGGCGGUUGGGGAUGGACUCGCGGCUUAUCAGCUUGUUGGUGGGGUAGUGGCUUACCAAGGCUUUGACGGGUAGCCUGCCUGAGAGGGUGACCGGCCACAUUGGGACUGAGAUACGGCCCAGACGCCUACGGGAGGCAGCAGGGGGGAAUAUUGCAAAAUGGGCGGAAGCCUGAUGCAGCAACGCCGCGUGCGGGAUGACGGCCUUCGGGUUGUAAACCGCUUUCGCCGGUGACGAAGCGUGAGUGACGGUAAUGGGUAAAGAAGCACCGGCUAACUACGUG
rnacentral:rRNA from 1 species